CUUUAGUCCAACAGAAAGCAGCUUCAGUCCUGAAUCCUGCAGGUUGUUGUUACUCAGGUCCAGCUCUCUCAGAUGGGAGGGGUUGGAGCUCAGAGCUGAGA